rnacentral:rRNA from 1 species
GACGAACGCUGGCGGCGUGCUUAACACAUGCAAGUCGAACGGAAAGGCCCUGCUUUUGUGGGGUGCUCGAGUGGCGAACGGGUGAGUAACACGUGAGUAACCUGCCCUUGACUUUGGGAUAACUUCAGGAAACUGGGGCUAAUACCGGAUAGGAGCUCCUGCUGCAUGGUGGGGGUUGGAAAGUUUCGGCGGUUGGGGAUGGACUCGCGGCUUAUCAGCUUGUUGGUGGGGUAGUGGCUUACCAAGGCUUUGACGGGUAGCCGGCCUGAGAGGGUGACCGGCCACAUUGGGACUGAGAUACGGCCAAGACUCCUACGGGAGGCAGCAGUGGGGAAUAUUGCACAAUGGGCGGAAGCCUGAUGCAGCAACGCCGCGUGCGGGAUGACGGCCUUCGGGUUGUAAACCGCUUUCGCCUGUGACGAAGCGUGAGUGACGGUAAUGGGGAAAGAAGCACCGGCUAACUACGU